rnacentral:lncRNA from 1 species
GUGUGUUUUCAGUUUAUUUAUUCUCAGUGUGUCUUUUUGAAAUCUCAGUGUGUAAUUUUCAAUUCUCAGUGUGUAAUUUUUAAUUCUCAGUGUGUGUUUUUCAUUUUUGUAUUCUCAGUGCGUCUUUAUGAAAUCUCAGUGUGUAAUUUUUAAUUCUCAGUGUGUAAUUUUUAAUUCUCAGUGUGUGUUUUGAAGUUUUUGAAUCUCACUGUGCUUUGUUGUAAUUCUCAGUGUGUAAAUUUUUCGAAAAAUGGUUUAAACAUAGUUUUGACGAGAACGGCUUGCCAUAA